GGGCUAGCGUUGUUCGGAAUUACUGGGCGUAAAGCGCGCGUAGGCGGACCUGCAAGUCGGGUGUGAAAGCCCGAGGCUCAACCUCGGAACUGCCUUCGAUACUGCGGGUCUCGAGUCCGGGAGAGGUGAGUGGAAUUCCUAGUGUAGAGGUGAAAUUCGUAGAUAUUAGGAAGAACACCAGUGGCGAAGGCGGCUCACUGGCCCGGUACUGACGCUGAGGCGCGAAAGCGUGGGGAGCAAACAGG
rnacentral:rRNA from 1 species